rnacentral:tRNA from 1 species
GGUGUCGUAGCUCAGCUUGGUCUAGAGCGCUGCCCUGUCAAGGCAGAGGGCGCGGGUUCAAAUCCCGUCGACGCCGC